GAGAUGGGGGCUACACAUUUGAAGGUCCAUAACUUUGGACCCCCUGAACCAAACUUCACCAAACAGGGAUGGUAUCAUCAGGAGGGUCUCCUGAAGAUACUUUGAAAUGUUGAGUACUGCUAACAUAAAGCAUUCCUCUCCCUUGACUUAGGUUGUGGGAAUGUCCCUUCUGGAAAUGAAGCACCUGCAAGCAUGUGCAAUUU